GCUAUACUCCAAAGUACACGAGGCAUAGUUCAUCUCUCAAAGUCAGCUUCACUGAUUUCUGAUAAGCCGAAAGAAGAACUGCAUCAUGCGGAUGAUCGUGUUAAUCAGAAUAAAUGUGAGUAGCACAAGCUGCUCCAAUCAAGGCAUUGCAUAAGGACCUGUUGCAUAUCAGAUUUAGGGUAUGCCAUCAAAAAGAUCAACAAAACAAUUCCGACCAUUUCCUAGGAAUUCUAAAGCCCAAUUGAACCAAUAUUCAUGAACUAUGGAAGGCAUACCUACAACAAAUUUCCAAUUCAUUACCUAAACAUCCAUAGCCAAAUACUCAAGGGAAGG
rnacentral:lncRNA from 1 species